rnacentral:lncRNA from 12 species
CCACCUGUCCUUCACCUGUCUCACCUGUCCCCCAUCUCUUACCUGUCUCACCUGUCCCUCAGGUGAACCCCAAAAACUGCCCCAAUCCCCCGCACCUGCCUCACCUGGAUGGACAACAUCAGGUGAGGGACCUCAGGUGUACCCCAAAAACUGCCCCAAACCCGCACCCUCACCUGGGCACACAGGUGAGCACCCCCUCACCUGUCCAGGUGGUUCCCCCCCUCACCUGUGCUCCCCCUAAGGACUGGUGACCCCCUCAUCCCUCACCUGUUCCCCAUCUCCCACCUGUCCUUCACCUGUCUCACCUGUCCCACCUGUCCUUCACCUGUCUCACCUGUCCCACCUGUCCCCCAUCUCUCACCCGUUUCACCUGUCCCCCAUCUACCUGUCCCUCACCUGUCUCA